rnacentral:rRNA from 1 species
UUAGUGGCGGACGGGUGAGUAACGCGUGAGUAACCUGCCGUGGAGAGUGGGAUAACACAUCGAAAGGUGUGCUAAUACCGCAUAUGACAGCAGUAUCACAUGAUACAGCUGUGAAAGAUUUAUCGCUCCAUGAUGGACUCGCGUCUGAUUAGCUGGUUGGUAGGGUAGAGGCCUACCAAGGCGACGAUCAGUAGCCGGACUGAGAGGUUGAUCGGCCACAUUGGGACUGAGACACGGCCCAGACUCC